AGAGGAAGAUCAGCCACACUGGGACUGAGACACGGCCCAGACUCCUACGGGAGGCAGCAGUUGGGAAUCUUGGACAAUGGGGGAAACCCUGAUCCAGCCAUGCCGCGUGAGUGAUGAAGGCCUUCGGGUUGUAAAACUCUUUCGCGCACGACGAUAAUGACGGUAGUGCGAGAAGAAGCUCCGGCUAACUUCGUGCCAGCAGCCGCGGUAAUACGAAGGGGGCUAGCGUUGUUCGGAAUUACUGGGCGUAAAGCGCGCGCAGGCGGCUAUCCAAGUCAGUGGUGAAAGCCCGGAGCUCAACUCCGGAACUGCCAUUGAAACUGUUUAGCUUGAGUAUGAGAGAGGUGAGUGGAAUUCCCAGUGUAGAGGUGAAAUUCGUAGAUAUUGGGAAGAACACCGGUGGCGAAGGCGGCUCACUGGCUCAUUACUGACGCUCAGGCGCGACAGCGUGGGGAUCAAACAGGAUUAGAUACCCUGGUAGUCCACGCCGUAAACGAUGAUUGCUAGCCGUUGGACAGCUUGCUGUUCAGUGGCGCAGCUAACGCAUUAAGCAAUCCGCCUGGGGAGUACGGCCGC
rnacentral:rRNA from 1 species